CCUUGUACACACCGCCCGUCACACCAUGGGAGUCGUUUGCUCCAGAAGUGCCUGCGCCAACCGCAAGGAGGUAGGGCCCCAAGGAGUGAACGGUAACUGGGUG
rnacentral:rRNA from 1 species